rnacentral:tRNA from 1 species
AAGGAAGAACAGAAAACACGUAAGUACUGCUAAUCCUUACGCCCCAAGGUUAAAAUCCGUGGCUUCCUUGC